AUCAGUUCUUCUGGGGCGAGAGAGUACAUCAAAAUUUGAAUAAUACGUAGAAGUCCAUAUCAGGACAAUUAUGCAGUUCCUUGAUACCACCAAGAGCCCAAGAGAUAAGUCAAUACUAGAUACUAGGCACCCUGACUUGUGAUUCACGAUGCUUUACCAAACACUCCAAAACACAACACGCAGGAAAAAGAAAAGAAAAAUGGCCAACUCAGGCUCCAAUGUUUCUUAAAAGAGAUUGCCACCAAGGCCUUUAUGCAACAUAUUGACCAUAAUUCGAGAAAGAUGACAAAAAUGCAUGUAGUGGGGGAGAAAGAACUUGCAGCUGUCCGUACUUCACUGUGUGGCCAAGUUGGGCUAUAGGGCUUUGACCCAAAACCUUCUAGCUCCAUUUUUAUAAGUUUAAUGAUCUUCUGCAAGACAAAGUUCUCCUGUAAGAGGGAUUCGGGUGAAUCCAUCUGUAGGAUCAGCACCACAAAGUUGGAGAGGCUCCAACAAAGAACUUACAAAAAUGCAAGAAUAGAGCUCUGUAGUACUAGAAAUUGGUAUUCACUUUCAUGUUCUAUUUUGUAUCUAUUCUAAAUAUUGGAGUUAUUAGAAGCUGAAGUUGUCAUGAAAA